UUAUUAGAUUUAUUAUAAAAACGUCAAAAAGAUCUCAAAUGUAACGAUGCACAGAUAGGCAUAGCGGAUCAUAGGAAUCGCGACACCUAGCGGAGAAAAAUGGCAAAAAUCUUCCCCAUUGGAAGUGCCUGUUUGCG